UGUCCAGGUGGUCUGUGAUGCAAACUUAAAAAUUAUGAGUGUUGUUGCAGGUUACCCUGGUGGCUGCCAUGACUCCUUCAUCCUCAGUCAGUCAUCGCUCUUCGAUAAAUUUGAGGACGGACAAAUGCCUGAUGGCUGGCUGUUGGGUAUGUUUAAAAUGUUUUGUGUGUAUGUCUUUUAUCCACAAACUCGAGUUAUGAUUAGGUGAAAGAAUAAUCUAACAUAUGUACUAAUGUGGACUAUAUCUGUUUUUCAGGUGAUGGGGGUUACGGCUGCUACUCUUGGCUCCUUACUCCAUUGUCCCAACCUGAUUCUCCUGCUGAACACAGUUACAAUCAUGCACAUAAGGCUACGCGGAAUGUGAUAGAAAGAUGUUUUGGUGUGCUGAAGUCACGGUUUCGGUGUCUGGAUAAAUCUGCUGGCCUUUUGUUGUAUAGUCCCUCAAAGAUAACUGAGGGGAUCGGGGCUCAUCACUCUGCGAACUCGCCAAUAGUGCCAGUGGUGGCUGGGGUGACACUGCCGAAAGUCGUCGCCUGGGUGGGGAUGAUGGAGCCGCAGAUUCCGAGCCAAGACGCCGUGUCUUACUUGGCCUCCUGGAAUAUGUGACUACACUGAAGUCUUACCUGCAAUCCCAGCCUCAUCCUGACUUGUCUGAGGCCUGUCUGGCCGGCUGGUCUGUGGGACUGUUGAAAAAGUGUACCAAACAUUAUUACCAUGCUUUGUGUAAAAAAAAACCCUGCAAAGCCUUAUUGUACUGUAACCAUCUAUUAGGUAUUGGAUAAACAAAUAAUUUCUGAUUAAGAGCUUCAAGCUUCAUUAUUUUGUGGUGUAUAUCCAAAU